GACGAACGCUGGCGGCGUGCUUAACACAUGCAAGUCGAACGGAAAGGCCCUGCUUUUGUGGGGUGCUCGAGUGGCGAACGGGUGAGUAACACGUGUGUAACCUGCCCUUGUCUUUGGGAUAACUUCACGAAACUGGGGCUAAUACCGGAUAGGAGCUCCUGCUGCAUAGGGUGGGUUGGUAAGAUUCGGCCGUUGGGGAUGGACUCGCGGGUUAUCCGCUUGUUGGUGGGGUAGUUGCUUACCAAGGGUUUGACGGGUAGCCGGCCUGGGAGGGUGAACGGCGACAUGGGGACUGAGAGACGGACCAGACUGCUACGGGAGGCAGCAGGGGAGAAUAUUGCACAACGGGCGGACGCCUGAGACAGCAACGCCGCGUGCGGGAUGACGGCCUUCGGGUUGUAAACCGCUGUCGCCUGUGACAAAGCGUGAGUGACGGUAAUGGGUAAAGAAGCACCGGCUAACUACGUG
rnacentral:rRNA from 1 species